AACGCUAGCUACAGGCUUAACACAUGCAAGUCGAGGGGCAGCAUUUUAGUUUGCUUGCAAACUAAAGAUGGCGACCGGCGCACGGGUGAGUAACACGUAUCCAACCUGCCGAUAACUCAGGGAUAGCCUUUCGAAAGAAAGAUUAAUACCUGAUGGCAUAGGAUUAUCGCAUGAUAAUCCUAUUAAAGAAUUUCGGUUAUCGAUGGGGAUGCGUUCCAUUAGGCAGUUGGUGAGGUAACGGCUCACCAAACCUUCGAUGGAUAGGGGUUCUGAGAGGAAGGUCCCCCACAUUGGAACUGAGACACGGUCCAAACUCCUACGGGAGGCAGCAGUGAGGAAUAUUGGUCAAUGGACGGGAGUCUGAACCAGCCAAGUAGCGUGAAGGAUGACUGCCCUAUGGGUUGUAAACUUCUUUUAUACGGGAAUAAAGUGAUCCACGUGUGGGUUUUUGUAUGUACCGUAUGAAUAAGGAUCGGCUAACUCCGUGCCAGCAGCCGCGGUAAUACGGAGGAUCCGAGCGUUAUCCGGAUUUAUUGGGUUUAAAGGGAGCGUAGGUGGAAUAAUAAGUCAGUUGUGAAAGUUUGCGGCUCAACCGUAAAAUUGCAGUUGAUACUGUUAUUCUUGAGUGUACAUAAGGUAGGCGGAAUUCGUGGUGUAGCGGUGAAAUGCUUAGAUAUCACGAAGAACUCCGAUUG
rnacentral:rRNA from 1 species